GGCUAUACAUAGAGGAAAAUAGACCAUUUCAGUGAACACAAAGAUGUAUCCAAGCCUCAUUUUGUCCUUCUUAGAAGGAGAACGGCCCUCUGUUUUGGCCAUUUUCUCUGAAAUAACGCAGCAGCUACUCUUAUUAUUUCCAAGCUCGUGGUGACGUGAAAAAUAGGAGGGCUAUCCGUGGGAACAACCUCAAGGAAUGACAACAACCAGAAGAAAUCUUCAAGAGUUAGUUUCAAAGUUUAAUCUUAGUGUUGGAACCCCAAGAAAUUAAUGUUCGUUGGGUCAUCUGGGACUCGUGGCACUCUCGUUAGCCCAUGAAGGAAUUGAGGUACAGACGUUCGUUCAGGUGACCCGCCAGUGUAGGAUACUUAUUCUGCUAUUUGGAGUACUCCUUUUGAUCCGGAGCUCAUAUUUUUGGUACAUAUCUUCU